rnacentral:rRNA from 1 species
GAUGAACGCUGGCGGCGUGCCUAAUACAUGCAAGUCGAGCGAACGGACGAGAAGCUUGCUUCUCUGAUGUUAGCGGCGGACGGGUGAGUAACACGUGGAUAACCUACCUAUAAGACUGGGAUAACUUCGGGAAACCGGAGCUAAUACCGGAUAAUAUUUUGAACCGCAUGGUUCAAAAGUGAAAGACGGUCUUGCUGUCACUUAUAGAUGGAUCCGCGCUGCAUUAGCUAGUUGGUAAGGUAACGGCUUCCCAAGGCAACGAUGCAUAGCCGACCUGAGAGGGUGAUCGGCCACACUGGAACUGAGACACGGUCCAGACUCCUACGGGAGGCAGCAGUAGGGAAUCUUCCGCAAAGGGCGAAAGCCUGACGGAGCAACGCCGCGUGAGUGAUGAAGGUCUUCGGAUCGUAAAACUCUGUUAUUAGGGAAGAACAUAUGUGUAAGUAACUGUGCACAUCUUGACGGUACCUAAUCAGAAAGCCACGGCUAACUACGUG